AGUUAGUAGUAAAAUCAAAUAGGCAUAAUAGUACAGUAGUACAAAGUCUGAUCUGUGCAGUUGUAAUUUUGUACAAAGUUGUCAAAAAGUAGAAAAAAGUAUGCAAGAAAAGACAAAGGGAGAAGGGGAAGAAUGGAACAAGAGUCCUCAAGUCCAGAACAUUAUGCUUCAGAGAGGAAAUAGACUAUGGUGUGACAAACUUUUCUGUAUUAUUCGAUUUCUAGCCAUGGCUCCACGAGUUUUAGAUAGGACUUUAGUGUUCUUAGACUUGUCU